AUUGAACGCUGGCGGCAUGCCUUACACAUGCAAGUCGAACGGCAGCACGGGAGCAAUCCUGGUGGCGAGUGGCGAACGGGUGAGUAAAGCAUCGGAACGUGCCCAGUCGUGGGGGAUAACGUAGCGAAAGCUACGCUAAUACCGCAUACGAUCUGUGGAUGAAAGCGGGGGACCGUAAGGCCUCGCGCGAUUGGAGUGGCCGAUGUCAGAUUAGGUAGUUGGUGGGGUAAAGGCUCACCAAGCCGACGAUCUGUAGCUGGUCUGAGGGGACGACCAGCCACACUGGGACUGAGACACGGCCCAGACUCCUACGGGAGGCAGCAGUGGGGAAUUUUGGACAAUGGGCGCAAGCCUGAUCCAGCAAUGCCGCGUGCAGGAUGAAGGCCUUCGGGUUGUAAACUGCUUUUGUACGGAGCGAAAAGGCUUCCACUAAUACUGGGGGCUCAUGACGGUACCGUAAGAAUAAGCACCGGCUAACUACGUGCCAGCCGCCGCGGUAAAAC
rnacentral:rRNA from 1 species